rnacentral:rRNA from 1 species
GAUGAACGCUGGCGGCGUGCUUAACACAUGCAAGUCGAACGAAGCAUCCUCAUCCGUGGAAGGGAGUAGCUUGCUACGAACGGACACACCCGAGGAUGACUUAGUGGCGGACGGGUGAGUAACGCGUGGGUAACCUGCCCCAUAGAGGGGGACAACAGUUGGAAACGACUGCUAAUACCGCAUAGUAAUGUAGAUCCGCAUGCUUCUACAUUGAAAGCUUUUGCGCUAUGGGAUGGACCCGCGUCUGAUUAGCUAGUUGGUGAGGUAACGGCCCACCAAGGCAACGAUCAGUAGCCGGCUUGAGAGAGUGAACGGCCACAUUGGGACUGAGACACGGCCCAAACUCC